AAGUGCCAACGACUCAAUAACAAUUUUAUGUUUUUUUAAGGGUUUCGAAGCACAAUCCUAAAAAAAACUAUACAAAAAAGAAAAAUUAGAAGUGAACUAAAUAAAAUUCCAAGUGGAAGAUGGGGAAUCUCGAAUGCUUCAAAGAUCCCAGACAAAGAAUAUUUAGAAAGACAGAGAUAAAUUAGUUAAGGGAAAACCGACCCGUAUCUUUCUAGGGGAUGUUGGAGGCGAAAUUUGUGGGAUUUUCUCACCACUUAAAGAAAGCAACCUACAAUUUCUCAAAGAAGAAAAAAAUAAAAAUAAAAUAAAAAAUAAAAUAAAAAAAUGAAAGAUAAAGAAAAAAGUAAGCCACACAAUAUAAAAUUAUGAAUAGUACUUUUUCCUGAUUUGGGCGGUCGAGGGUGGCCGGUGGCGGCAGUGUCACAAAAAACAUCUUUAAUAUUCUUAUAUUUAUAAAUUAUA
rnacentral:lncRNA from 1 species